ACAAGGCUUUGGUAAAACUGGCCGCUUAGCGAGUAAUCGCUUUGAACAAGCAUUUUGUUAAUUCGGGGAAGGCUAAACCAGCAAUGGCAAGUUGAUCCCGAGCCAAGCCUCAAGGGAAACCUGAGGAAGGUGUAACGACUAGAAAGAGUAGGCUAAAAACAUUGUUCAUGCCGAAAUUUCCACGAAGGCAAAACUCCUUGAAAGUGAUAUAAUUAAAUAUAGAAAGAAACGGAUAACACCAAUGGAGGUGGAAGUAAUGAAACUGUAUAAGCCGAAAAAGGGUGAUGGUAAGCAAGCAGUGCUUAUUGUUUUUACUAUGUUGCUUUUUUUAGUACUAGGUAUGUAUUUAGCGGCUGAGGGAUUACCUUCACCAAGUGCUCUGAUUAUUACUUUCUUUUUGAUAAGUGGCUUAAUAUCAAUUAUUGGUGGGGUAUUUGGAUGGAUAUUCAAAUUUUAAGCAACGAUGAGUCCGUGAGGACUCUUUUUUUAUGUCAACUUUCAAGGAUGAAGAGAUAGUCUGAACACUAUGGAAACAUGGUG
rnacentral:ncRNA from 1 species